rnacentral:rRNA from 1 species
GACGAACGCUGGCGGCGUGCUUAACACAUGCAAGUCGAACGGAAAGGCCCUGCUUUUGUGGGGUGCUCGAGUGGCGAACGGGUGAGUAACACGUGAGUAACCUGCCCUUGACUUUGGGAUAACUUCAGGAAACUGGGGCUAAUACCGGAUAGGAGCUCCUGCUGCAUGGUGGGGGUUGGAAAGUUUCGGCGGUUGGGGAUGGACUCGCGGCUUAUCAGCUUGUUGGUGGGGUAGUGGCUUACCAAGGCUUUGACGGGUAGCCGGCCUGAGAGGGUGACCGGCCACAUUGGGACUGAGAUACGGCCCAGACUCCUACGGGAGGCAGCAGUGGGGAAUAUUGCACAAUGGGCGGAAGCCUGAUGCAGCAACGCCGCGUGCGGGAUGACGGCCUUCGGGUUGUAAACCGCUUUCGCCUGUGACGAAGCGUGAGUGACGGUAAUGGGUAAAGAAGCACCGGCUAACUACGUGCCAGCAGCCGCGGUGAUACGUAGGGUGCGAGCGUUGUCCGGAUUUAUUGGGCGUAAAGGGCUCGUAGGUGGUUGAUCGCGUCGGAAGUGUAAUCUUGGGGCUUAACCCUGAGCGUGCUUUCGAUACGGGUUGACUUGAGGAAGGUAGGGGAGAAUGGAAUUCCUGGUGGAGCGGUGGAAUGCGCAGAUAUCAGGAGGAACACCAGUGGCGAAGGCGGUCCUCUGGGCCUUUCCUGACGCUGAGGAGCGAAAGCGUGGGGAGCGAACAGGCUUAGAUACCCUGGUAGUCCACGCUGUAAACGGUGGGUACUAGGUGUGGGGUCCAUUCCACGGGUUCCGUGCCGUAGCUAACGCUUUAAGUACCCCGCCUGGGGAGUACGGCCGCAAGGCUAAAACUCAAAGGAAUUGACGGGGCCCCGCACAAGCGGCGGAGCAUGCGGAUUAAUUCGAUGCAACGCGUAGAACCUUACCUGGGUUUGACAUGGAUCGGGAGUGCUCAGAGAUGGGUGUGCCUCUUUUGGGGUCGGUUCACAGGUGGUGCAUGGCUGUCGUCAGCUCGUGUCGUGAGAUGUUGGGUUAAGUCCCGCAACGAGCGCAACCCUUGUUCACUGUUGCCAGCACGUUAUGGUGGGGACUCAGUGGAGACCGCCGGGGUCAACUCGGAGGAAGGUGGGGAUGACGUCAAGUCAUCAUGCCCCUUAUGUCCAGGGCUUCACGCAUGCUACAAUGGCUGGUACAGAGAGUGGCGAGCCUGUGAGGGUGAGCGAAUCUCGGAAAGCCGGUCUCAGUUCGGAUUGGGGUCUGCAACUCGACCUCACGAAGUCGGAGUCGCUAGUAAUCGCAGAUCAGCAACGCUGCGGUGAAUACGUUCCCGGG